CCUACGUGAUGCAGCAGUGGGGAAUAUUUGGCAAUGGGCGCACGCCUGACCCAGCAACGCCGCGUGAAGGAAGAAGGCUCUCGGGUUGUAAACUUCUUUUAUCAGGGACGAAUCAAGUGACGUUACCUGAUGAAUAAGCCACGGCUAACUACGUGCCAGCAGCCGCGUUAAUACGUAGGUGGCAAGCGUUAUCCGGAUUUACUGGUUGUAAAGGGCGUGUAGGCGGUUAAGCAAGUCAGAUGUGAAAACUAUGGGCUCAACCCCUGGCCUGCAUUUGAAACUGUACUUCUUGAGUGCUGGAGAGGCAAUCGGAAUUCCGUGUGUAGCGGUGAAAUGCGUAGAUAUUAGGAGGAACACCAGUGGCGAAGGCGGAUGGCUGGACAGUAACUGACGCUGAGGCGCGAAAGCGUGGGGAGCAAACAGGAUUAGAUACCCUUGUAGUC
rnacentral:rRNA from 1 species